rnacentral:rRNA from 1 species
UUGAACGCUGGCGGAAUGCUUUACACAUGCAAGUCGGGCGGCAGCGCGGGGGCAACCCUGGCGGCGAGCGGCGAACGGGUGAGUAACAUAUCGGAACGUACCCAGACGUUGGGGACAACUAGUCGAAAGACUAGCUAAUACCGCAUACGUCCUGAGGGAGAAAGCGGGGGAUCGCAAGACCUCGCGCGUUUGGAGCGGCCGAUAUCUGAUUAGCUAGAUGGUGGGGUAAAGGCCCACCAUGGCGACGAUCAGUAGCUGGUCUGAGAGGAUGAUCAGCCACACUGGAACUGAGACACGGUCCAGACUCCUACGGGAGGCAGCAGUGGGGAAUUUUGGACAAUGGGGGAAACCCUGAUCCAGCCAUUCCGCGUGAGUGAAGAAGGCCUUCGGGUUGUAAAGCUCUUUCGGUAGGAACGAAACGGCGGAAUCUAAUACAUUCCACUAAUGACGGUACCUGAAGAAGAAGCACCGGCUAACUACGU